rnacentral:rRNA from 1 species
GGCGUGCCUAACACAUGCAAGUCGAGCGAUCUUCUUCGGAAGAGAGCGGCGGACGGGUGAGUAACGCGUGGGUAACCUGCCCUGUACACACGGAUAACAUACCGAAAGGUAUGCUAAUACGGGAUAACAUAAGAAAGUCGCAUGGCUUUCUUAUCAAAGCUUUUGCGGUACAGGAUGGACCCGCGUCUGAUUAGCUAGUUGGUAAGGUAACGGCUUACCAAGGCGACGAUCAGUAGCCGACCUGAGAGGGUGAUCGGCCACAUUGGAACUGAGACACGGUCCAAACUCCUACGGGAGGCAGCAGUGGGGAAUAUUGCACAAUGGGCGAAAGCCUGAUGCAGCAACGCCGCGUGAGCGAUGAAGGCCUUCGGGUCGUAAAGCUCUGUCCUCAAGGAAGAUAAUGACGGUACUUGAGGAGGAAGCCCCGGCUAACUACGUGCCAGCAGCCGCGGUAAUACGUAGGGGGCUAGCGUUAUCCGGAAUUACUGGGCGUAAAGGGUGCGUAGGCGGUCUUUCAAGUCAGAAGUGAAAGGCUACGGCUCAACCGUAGUAAGCUUUUGAAACUGUAAGACUUGAGUGCAGGAGAGGAGAGUGGAAUUCCUAGUGUAGCGGUGAAAUGCGUAGAUAUUAGGAGGAACACCAGUUGCGAAGGCGGCUCUCUGGACUGUAACUGACGCUGAGGCACGAAAGCGUGGGGAGCAAA